CUUGACCCUUGGAAUUCAGAGAGACAUGGAUGCAAUGGGACGGGAUGUUUUUGUCGCUGACCUGCAUGUGACACGAACAUGGCUACCUCCCACCAACGGCGAUCCCCUGCUCCAUUUCCCAAAAGAUGCCAUCAUCAUCCCACUGUCCGGGGCAUUUUCUGCUGAGUG